rnacentral:rRNA from 1 species
UAAUACUCCAUAGAUUAGAGACACUGGAAUGUUCUUUAGUCGAAAGUUCUGGCGCCUUAGGAUGGAUCUGCGGUCGAUUAGGUUGUUGUUGGGGUAACGGCCCAACAAGCCUGUAAUCGAUACGGGUUGUGGGAGCAAGAGCCCGGAGAUGGAAUCUGAGACACGAUUCCAGGCCCUACGGGGCGCAGCAGGCGCGAAAACUUUACAAUGCAGGAAACUGUGAUAAGGGAACUCCGAGUGCCCGUAUACGCGGGCUGUCCAGGUGUUUAAAAAUCAUCUGAAGAAAGGGCCGGGCAAGACCGGUGCCAGCCGCCGCGGUAAUACCGGCGGCUCGAGUGGUGGCCACUAUUAUUGGGCUUAAAGCGUCCGUAGCUGGACCGAUAAGUCUCUUGGGAAAUCCGCCGGCUCAACCGGCGGGCGUCUAAGGGAUACUGUUAGUCUAGGGACCGGGAGAGGUGAGAGGUACUCCGGGGGUAGGAGUGAAAUCCUGUAAUCCCCGGGGGACCAACGAUGGCGAAGGCAUCUCACCAGAACGGCUCCGACAGUGAGGGACGAAAGCUGGGGGAGCGAACCGGAUUAGAUACCCGGGUAGUCCCAUCCGUAAACUAUGCGCGUUAGGUGU